GAUGAACGCUGGCGGCGUGCCUAAUACAUGCAAGUCGAGCGAACAGAUGAGUAUCUUGCUCCUCUGACGUUAGCGGCGGAUGGGUGAGUAACACGUGGAUAACCUCCCUAUAAGACUGGGAUAACUUCUGGAAACCGGAGCUAAUACCGGAUAAUAUAUUGAACCGCAUGGUUCAAUAGCGAAAGACGGUUUUGCUGUCACUUAAAGAUGGAACCGCGCCGCAUUAACUAGUUGGUAAGGUAACGGUUUACCAAGGCAGCGAUGCAUAGCCGACCUGAGAGGAUGAUCAGCCGCAGUUGAGCGAAGACGCGGUGCCAACUCGGGAGGGAGGCAGCGGUAGGAAAUCUACGGCAAGGGGCGGAGGCGUGACGGAGGAACGGCGCGUAAGUGAUAAAGGUCUACGGAUCGUAGAAGUCUGUUAUUAGGGAGGAGCAAAUGUGUAAGUAACGAUGCGCGUCUUGACGGUACCUAGUCAGAAAGCCACGGCUAACUACGUG
rnacentral:rRNA from 1 species